CAUGGAGGGUGAGAAUCCCGUCCAUGACCCAGUGGAUGCUGCUAUGUGAUACGUUUUCAAAGAGUCGAGUUGUUUGGGAUUGCAGCUCAAAAUGGGAGGUAAAUUUCUCCUAAGGCUAAAUACCGGCGAGAGACCGAUAGCGAACAAGUACCGUGAGGGAAAGAUGAAAAGAAUUUUGAAAAGAAAGUCAAACAGUACGUGAAAUUGUUGAAAGGGAAACGAUUGAAGCCAGUCGUACCGACGGGAAUUCAACUUCUCGAGUGCUAAUCGUGGGUGACGUUGAGCCUCACGGCCUUCGUUGCUUGUGUUGUUGGUGCUUUUGGGGUGUACUUUUCCGUAUUGGUAGGUCAGCAUCGAUUUCGAUCGUCAUAAAAUGAUCGGGGGAAUGUAGCUUCGGUCUCGUAUCGGAGUGUUAUAGACCUUGGUAGAUGUGACGAUUGGGAUCGAGGAUUGCAACGAAUACCUUCUGGGCUAUCCGUCUGACCUCUGAAAGUCGCUCGGGUGUCGAAAGCGUGCUUAUGGCUAUUCGAGUUGGCGGUCAAUAGGUUAGAACGUGAUUACAUUCGUUAAGGAUGUUGACGUA
rnacentral:rRNA from 1 species